UUGGAGAGAUUCAUGGGAAACCAACUGGGACGUUUUCCUGUCCUGCGACCCUCUUGUCUUUCUCUUCUCAUUUCCCACCAUUGCCUCUGUGGGAGGGCUUCGGGGAUGAGGCUCUCACUAACCACAGAGCAGCACAGCCCCAUGUCCUAUCAGCUUAGACUCUUCAGAAGUUCUUAACUAUAGUCUGUCUAGUAGCAAUUUCCUCGUCCUGUUAGCCUCAAUCAAGUCUGAUCCUACACCCAACAUGUGUGGAAUGCAUGUUCUCCAAUUUGUCAGGCUUUGCUGAACCCAGGUGUUUAUCGAGUCUUUCUUUCUCUAGUGUGGUGCUGUGGGUUCUCAAGCAAGCAGCAGUUUAAACAUUUCUCACCUUGGUGAACAGUUUUGACAUCACCAGGUAACGAUCACCGGAAGCUGGAAAAACAUGCCAAUAGUGGAGUCAGAGGACAAGCUCAGCUUGAAUCUCCGCUCAACACCCAGUAUGGAAGGUGCAUGAAAUCGAGAUUUGAAGUUAACUGAGAAGAGCAAUGGAUUAUCCAGAGGCCUUGAACCAGACAAGUGACUCAUUGCAAUGAACAUUGCAAGUAAUGCUGAUAGGACAAAGGGGUGUACUACGUGACACCCCCGAGGCUCCCAAUGCCACUAAGACGGAUGAAGAGGAGAUGGAGAGGUAGAAAGACAGAAGAGCAAAAUGGGGUUUUUUGUUGGUUU